CUCCGGGAGGGAGCCGAGCCCCUGUGCGCUCGUUCCCGCACGCGGUGGGGAGGAGGCGGCGCGGCGCGGGUCGGCGCCGCUGCCCUCACCGUUCCCUGCCUCGGGCAGGCGGGUGGCUGGAGCGGGGACGCGGCCGGGGUGGGGAAAGGCAGCGGGCAGCCCCUCGCUGUUCCGGGGUGAGGGAGCUGGUGAGCGAAGUGGUUCUUCCGAGACCUGGCGGGCUGUCCAAGGAUGCCUUGGGCUGUGUCCUAAAGGAAUCAUCCCACGGAGAGCCCCGGGAAGGCAGGAAAGCUUCACAGCCUGGUUUCAGUGUUCUUGUGGGCAGCAGUGCGUGUCCAGUCUGCUUCAUGUCUCAUCUCCCCUUUGGACAGGAGGGCUUUUUGUAAUGAGGGGCACAAACACAGCCCCAGCAGUAACAAGUGCAAGGUUGGAACCAUGGGGGAGACUGGUGUUAGUAGGAAGGACCUUGGGAUCAAAGCAGCAAACUCUCCUGCUUAGCACUUGAGUGCUUGUGCAAGUGGACUGGCUUCAGGUGCUUAAAUACUUUUGAGGAGCUGCACGUACCGAUUGGGACUGUGGAAGUUACCCUCUUUCCAUCAGAACCCUGCAGUCAGAGCAGAUGUGGUCUCACUUUAUCAAUGGCUGCAGAGGUCUCUGAGAAACUCUGGUAGAGGGCCCAGAGCCCAGGAGAGCACAAUGCUGUGGCUGACUUCAAGGGCAACAUUGCUGCUGCUGCUUCUGAUAGUGCUGUUAGUACUGCAGGAGACUGGACAGUUCUUCCUUAUUCACCUCUUCCACGAGAACAACAACUCAAAGUGGUGUUCCCUUGGAAAUGUCUUUGUUGAUAGUUUUCAUUUCAUCCUGUACUGAUGCUAAUACAAAGGUGGCAUAUGAGAAGACAGCAUACUGUGAGGACAGUGCUCUAGUACCUGAGCAGUGACCAAACCUUAGCUUGGAGAGGAAGGAAGGAGCAAUUUGCCACCUUUCCAGCAAACUGCUUUUGAAUUGCAAAAUCUGAUAUUGGGGUGAUGGGAACACAGAAAGAACCUGCAGUUCAGUUCAGAGUAAAAGGUCAAUACAGGAGAACAGAAGGCUGCUGUCUCUCCUUUUGGCAAGCAUAUUAUUAUA